UUGCCAGCCCGCUCAGAACUACAAAUGAAUGACGGGGCCCGCACAAGCGGAGGAACAUGUGGUUUAAUUCGAUGAUACGCGAGGAACCUUACCUGGGCUUAAAUGGGGAGUGACAGCUGUCGAAAGAUGGUUUUCUUCGGACACUCUUCAAGGUGCUGCAUGGUUGUCGUCAGCUCGUGCCGUGAGGUGUCGGGUUAAGUCCCAUAACGAGCGCAACCCUUACCGUUAGUUACCAUCAGGUUAAGCUGGGGACUCUAGCGGGACUGCCACCGUAAGGUGAGAGGAAGGUGGGGAUGACGUCAAAUCAGCACGGCCCUUAUGUCCAGGGCUACACACGUGUUACAAUGGCCGGUACAAAGGGCAGCUACUUCGCGAGAAGAUGCUAAUCUCGAAAGCCGGUCUCAGUUCGGAUCGAAGUCUGCAACCCGACUUCGUGAAGCUGGAUUCGCUAGUAAUCGCGCAUCAGCCAUGGCGCGGUGAAUACGUUCCCGGGCCUU
rnacentral:rRNA from 1 species